AUUCUGAUUGAAUAUGUGAGUGCAAAAGGCGGUGUGCUGCACCGUCAGACGCAAAAUUGUUCUGCACUUGGUGAAGCACACGGCUUUGCACACGGCCCUAUACCAUGUAUAAAGAAGCGUUCUUUACAGACUUAGACAUUACAACAACAAACCGCUUUCUAUACAUCUGGGAAACCAUAGAACCAAAACAAACCUCAAGAUGCCCAAGCCUUGCUGCGACAAUUGCGCCCAGACCUGCCAGGGCGGAGCUGAUGGUUGCAAAUGCAGCGGUACCUGCGGUUGCAAGGGAGGCUGCAAAUGCUGUGCCGAGAAGAAAUGAAGACCAAAUAUGACUACUUUAUUUUUUACCAAAUUUAUAUGUUGUAUUUCAUACUUUUUAUCAAUAAUGAUUAAAAAAUAAAAAUUACCGUUUUAA